GAUGAACGCUGGCGGCGUGCUUAACACAUGCAAGUCGAACGGUGAAGCUCCAGCUUGCUGGAGUGGAUCAGUGGCGAACGGGUGAGUAACACGUGAGCAACCUGCCCCUGACUCUGGGAUAACAGCCGGAAACGGCUGCUAAUACCGGAUAUGCACCAUGAACGCAUGUUCUGUGGUGGGAAAGAUUUUUCGGUUGGGGAUGGGCUCGCGGCCUAUCAGCUUGUUGGUGAGGUAAUGGCUCACCAAGGCGUCGACGGGUAGCUGGCCUGAGAGGGUGACCGGCCACACUGGGAUUGAGACACGGGCCAGACUGCUACGGGAGGCAGCAGUGGGGAAUAUUGCACGAUGGGCGAAAUCCUGAUGCAGCAACGCCGCGUGAGGGAUGACGGCCUUCGGGUUGUAAACCUCUUUUAGCAGGGAAGAAGCGAGAGUGACGGUACCUGCAGAAAAAGCGCCGGCUAACUACGUG
rnacentral:rRNA from 1 species